UACGUAGGGGGCAAGCGUUGUCCGGAUUUAUUGGGCGUAAAGAGCGUGUAGGCGGUCAGGUAGGUCGGUUGUGAAACUGGAGGCUCAACCUUCAGAGGUCGACCGAAACCCCCUGACUAGAGUCCGGGAGAGGAGAGUGGAAUUCCUGGUGUAGCGGUGAAAUGCGCAGAUAUCAGGAAGAACACCCGUGGCGAAAGCGGCUCUCUGGAACGGUACUGACGCUGAGACGCGAAAGCGUGGGGAGCGAACAGG
rnacentral:rRNA from 1 species